AAAUAGAAAUCUCUGGUUGUCCGCUCCUAAAAAAAAAACUACUUAAGGGAAGAAAGGGAUUAAGCGUCAGCUAUUAUGAUUGAGAAGAUAAUCAGUGGUGCUAUUAUUUGUAGUCCAUUUUCAAUAUAGCUUCAGAUUUUACGCCAACUGGGUCUCUUUGAUCAUACAAGACAAGUAAUAAAUCAUAGUCAAUCAGAAUUUAAGAAGUCCUGCAGGUCGCUGAACGAGUUUUCUGAGGUCGUUUUAUCAAAAAGUGGAUAUUGAUGCAAAUUGGUAGUGGACUAAGUCGGUGUUUUUGUUGCUGAACAUUAUUAGAUGCCUUUUUUUUUCUUUUUUUUUUGGGUAUGUUCUUACUUCUUAUAUUG